CUUCGUCUGUGAGGGAUCUGCCCUGCUCUGUCUACUUGGUGGGACUGCUGUGCUGAUCCAAGGGGAUCCUGCAUUUGAAGUUGCCUUGGAACCGCCAGAUGAUGUGCAAAUGCCAUGUAGGUCAUUCACCAGGUGGACUGGAGACUAAGCAGGUCAGUGAAAGCCCCUGCAGCCCCGCCUCUCCACCCGGAGCCAGUGCUUUUCACUAGAUCACUCUGACCAGGUCUCCUCAAGACGGGGAGGCACCUGCUCUAGGACUAUACCUGUGCAGGAGUCCAAGGGAUGCUUGGGAGGGGCUUCUCCGACAAGCAAACAGAGGGCUCAGGGCUGACCGGGCUCUCUGGGCUCUGCUACAAGCCAAUCCCACUUGCUGGAUCCUUAGUUUCUUCACCUUUAGAAUGGGCACAACCACACUCUAUAUUUGAAGCUACUGUCAAUUUGUGAUCAGUUAUUCUGGGCCAAGCUUUUUGUUGAGUGCUUACAUGCAUUAACUCAUUUAAUUCUAUCUGUGAGCUCAGUACUCUUACUUAUCAGUUUUUUAUAGAUUAGAAAACCAAAGAUCAAAGAGGUUGAGUAACAUGCCCAGGACUACACUGCUAGUAGGUAGUAGGGACAGGAUUUGAAUCCUACCUGCAAGACACUGUCUCUACUAUGUUCUGGCAGUUCUGUGAUGAGUUAAGGGCCUCCUAUCUUGGGGGGUCUCAGCUUCCUCCUUUGUAAAAUGAGGGGCUGGACAGGAAUGGGGCAAAGGGGACCUAUACACAUGACAUCUUUGCACCUGUCUUGAGGCCCAACAAGAGCCCAACUGUGUACGUUGAAUCAGAUUGUCUUUGAGAGGUUCCCUCCCCACAACAUCCAUUUUUGUAAGAAGAAAUGCAGUGAUCCUCACCACAGCCCUUCAGCGUCUUCCUCUUCCACCCAAAGCAAAAAGCAGAAGCCCAAUGGAAGACAGAUGUCCACAGAGACCUGGAACGGUGGUGGACAGUGAGAGCUUCCCCCCGUGGGCCCCAAGGCAUGGACUGCAGAAGCCCCUCAGACUACCUGGCAGGUAAAGCCGUGGCCUCCAGGGGCCUCCUGCCUGGGCCCUGACCGGCUGUGCUGGGCCAGGCCUGGGCGCCUCUGCAGGCCCUCUGGGCAGGGCUGGUCUGGAGGGUGGGGAGCUGGGGCUGCCCCACCCUGCAGACUUGACCUUCCACCUUGUGAUCCUGGUCUCCUCCUCUCUUUCCCGUCGACCUGGGGCAAUGGGUUUCUCCACUCCCUCUCUCCUUUUUUGUCUCUCUCAAAUCGGCCUCUCUUCCUCAGUAUCCUCUCACCCUUUCUCUCUCCCCCACCCCCUUUCUCUUGCCAUUUUAGUUCCUCUAUUUCCUUCCUUCUUGUUCCGUUUGCCUCUCAAACUGCUUUUUCUCUCUAUCCUCCUCAUUCAUAGUUCAGACCCAUCUGUCUACCUCCAAAGUUUCUUUCUGUCCCAGCCUCUCCCUUGCUCUCUGUAUUCUUCCCUCUCUCCUUUGUAAUUCUCUCUGUUCCCCUGCCUUUAUCUCUCUGCCUUUUUUUGUCUCCAUCUUUCUCUGCAAUUUCUCUCACCAUCUAUCUAUCUCUCUCCCUCCCUGCAUCUCCCUCUCUCCAUCCCUCUCCAUCUGGCUUCGUUCCCAUCUCCCUCCCUCUUCCCUCCCUCUCUCCUGCUCCUUCCUCGCGGUCCGCGGCCUCCCCGACCCCCGCCCUGCGUCCGGGCCCCACUCACCGGUGAAGGCACCCGAGGCGCGGAGCAGGGCAAGCCCGGCCAGCGCGCAGAGCAGGGGCCGCAUGCUGCCGGCUGGCGGAGCGCAGCGCCGCGUCUGCCCGCUGCCGCCCUCCCCGCCCUCCCCGGGAUCGCGCCGGCCCGCCCGGGAGGAAAUGCUCGCAGUCCCCGCCAAGAUUCCUGGGCGGCUCCGGGCUUUCUGGCUCGAGCGAGCCCGCCCCCUCCAGAGACCCCGCGGGCGGAGGGGCGACGCGCCAGGCUGAGCGCCUCCCCUGGGAGGGGCCGCGCUCUGAGCCGCCGCGCCUCCCCCGGGCCCGAGCGCAGCAGAGUGGGCGAUGCAGCCAGGGGUCCAGUGCUCCGUUAUGAGCCCAUUUCACAGACGGGCGGACUGCAGUUUGGAGAGAAGUGGCACCCACACCUGUGGCAUGGGAUCUGAAUUCCUGACUGCACGGGGUGUGGAAGCUUUUCUCUGCCCACCAGGAACAAGUAAGCAACUCUCAUGACAUCGGAGAGAGUGUUCAGCACAUACUUAAGGCCUCUCCCUGUUGUGGCCUCUCCCAUUGCAGAGCACAGGCUC